rnacentral:rRNA from 1 species
AGUGAACGUUGGCGGCAUGGAUUAGGCAUGCAAGUCGAACGGUGAAAGAGAGCUUGCUCUCUGGAUCAGUGGCGAACGGGUGAGUAACACGUGAGCAAUCUGCCCCUGACUCUGGGAUAAGCGCUGGAAACGGCGUCUAAUACCGAAUACGAGCUGCGAAGGCAUCUUCAGCAGCUGGAAAGAACUUCGGUCAGGGAUGAGCUCGCGGCCUAUCAGCUAGUUGGGGAGGUAAUGGCUCACCAAGGCGUCGACGGGUAGCCGGCCUGAGAGGGUGACCGGCCACACUGGGACUGAGACACGGCCCAGACUCCUACGGGAGGCAUCAGUGGGGAAUAUUGCACAAUGGGCGCAAGCCUGAUGCAGCAACGCCGCGUGAGGGACGACGGCCUUCGGGUUGUAAACCUCUUUUAGCAGGGAAGAAGCGAAAGUGACGGUACCUGCAGAAAAAGCACCGGCUAACUACGUGCCAGCAGCCGCAGUAAGAC